GCUGUUGUCUGUCACAGACACCCACUGUCUUCUUGCCCAGAACCCCUUCUUCUGAGGAUUUUCCCAGUCUCCAUGUUGGAGACAACUAUGGCCUAGACAGCUGUGCUUCACGUGGAACCUAUGCCCGAACAUUCACAUUACAGCAAGACCUACAGCGGACAGACUGAGCUGAAUCUGCCCAUCUGCUGUCACUUCUGGAACUCUCUAUAGGCCGUGGAAAGUGGGUACCAUGCAGUCAUCUUGACAGCUAAGAAAACGGAAGAUUACAGAGAUUGUGGAACCGGUCCAAGAGUGCUCAGAUGGAACUAACAAAGUGCUGGUGACAUAUAACAGGAGAAAAGAAAGUGACAUGAAAGAAAAUCACAAAAAUAGCAGAAAGAAAGAGGAAAACAAGAGUGAAGGAAGCCAGCCCCAUCCCUGAAGAGGUGAUGGACUCUGAUUCCCAUGGAAUCCAUUGCUGUUACUGUCGACGAGUUCAAAGAAAGAGCUUACCUUUAAAAGACAAAUGAAGAAUACGCACAAUAUCUAUAGCAUUCUCAUGGGACUACUGUGUUUAUGAGACUAAAGUACUGUGUUUUCUUAAACAAAGUGCCUCUCAUGCUGAGCACAUCUCAAAUAACAGAGAUAAGAAAAAAUGCACAAAACACCAAUUUCUGAGAUUUGAAGCACACUGGAUGCAAAACACUAAAAAUCAUAUUUCCAUUUAUUCUCCAUUUCUGAACCAAUUUUGCAGAGCAAGUAACCUACCACUCAGAAUGGUUUUCCAAUGACCCUGUUUCAUUCAGGACCAGGAUUGCAAUCAAUAUCCCAUCUCAUCUCAUAUUCAUAACAUAAGCUGCAAAAAUGAGCCUCCCAGAUGCGUAUCUGCGUUGUUUGGAAUUUUGAGUAUGUACAGCACUAUCCUUUGAGUCAGAGAAGAUGGCUGAAAAUAGGCUUAAAUCCAGGAUAAUCAAUGUCCCUAAAUCCUGGACUAGCUCUACCUUCAAUGAAAUUACAAGUCUGUGCCCAUUCAAUAUUUGCUGAAAGAUUUGUAGAAAAUCACACACCCACCUCACUCUUACAAAGCAAGAAUCAUUUCCAAAUGAGUGGAAAGUAAAAAUAAAACCUCCAUCCGCCUCAUUUGCUGGUGAAUUACCAACUUAAAAUAUGACUUGCAUGCUUUAGAUGCUCUUCCCUCUAGAGAAAUCUCAGGCUGCUGUACAUUUAUGUUUUAACUGGAAAUGCCCAUUCCAAAUAGAAAAGGGGGAAAAAAGCAAGGGGAGAAGUGAGUGCUUGAGAAACUGCAACA